UACGUAGGGGGCUAGCGUUGUCCGGAUUUAUUGGGCGUAAAGAGCGUGUAGGCGGCCAGGUAGGUCUGCUGUGAAAACUUGGGGCUCAACCCCAAGCCUGCGGUCGAUACGGGCAGGCUAGAGUUCGGUAGGGGAGACUGGAAUUCCUGGUGUAGCGGUGAAAUGCGCAGAUAUCAGGAGGAACACCGGUGGCGAAGGCGGGUCUCUGGGCCGAUACUGACGCUGAGGAGCGAAAGCGUGGGGAGCGAACAGG
rnacentral:rRNA from 1 species